CCUACGGGGGGCAGCAGUGGGGAAUAUUGGGCAAUGGGCGCAAGCCUGACCCAGCAACGCCGCGUGAAGGAAGAAGGCUUUCGGGUUGUAAACUUCUUUUCUCAGGGACGAAGCAAGUGACGGUACCUGAGUAAUAAGCCACGGCUAACUACGUGCCAGCAGCCGCGGUAAUACGUAGGUGGCAAGCGUUAUCCGGAUUUACUGGGUGUAAAGGGCGUGUAGGCGGGAAAGCAAGUCAGAUGUGAAAACCAUGGGCUCAACCUGUGGCCUGCAUUUGAUACUGUUUUUCUUGAGUACUGGAGAGGCAGACGGAAUUCGUGGUGUAGCGGUGAAAUGCGUAGAUAUUAGGAGGAACACCAGUGGCGAAGGCGGUCUGCUGGACAGCAACUGACGCUGAGGCGCGAAAGCGUGGGGAGCAAACAGGAUUAGAUACCCCGGUAGUC
rnacentral:rRNA from 1 species